UGUGUAGGCGGUUCUUUAAGUUUGGUGUGAAAUCUCCCGGCUCAACUGGGAGGGAGCGCCGAAUACUGAGGGACUAGAGUACGGGAGAGGAAAGUGGAAUUCCUGGUGUAGCGGUGAAAUGCGUAGAUAUCAGGAGGAACACCGGUGGUGUAGACGGCUUUCUGGACCGACACUGACGCUGAGACACGAAAGCGUGGGUAGCAAACAGGAUUAGAUACCCUGGUAGUCCACGCCCUAAACGAUGCAUAUUUGGUGUGAGCAGUUCAUUCUGUCCGUGCCGGAGCUAACGCGUUAAAUAUGCCGCCUGGGGAGUACAGUCGCAAGGCUGAA
rnacentral:rRNA from 1 species